UAUUAGAGGCACUGCCUGCCCAGUGACAUAUGUUUAACGGCCGCGGUACCCUGACCGUGCAAAGGUAGCAUAAUCAUUUGUUCUCUAAUUAAGGACUUGCAUGAAAGGCUUAACGAGGAUUUUACUGUCUCCUACUUCCAAUCAGUGAAAUUGACCUCCCCGUGAAGAGGCAGGGAUAAACCUAUAAGACGAGAAGACCCUACGGAGCUUAAAUUAACUAGCCUAAUUGCACAUUUUCCCCCACCCAACAGGAAAAACCACCCGCAACCUAGGCUAGCAAUUUCGGGUGGGGUGACCUCGGAGCAUAAACAAACCUCCGAAUGACUAUUCACUUAGACCUAACCAGUCAACAUACUUCAACGCCACUAAUUGACCCAAGCAAUUGAUCAAUGGAACAAGUUACCCUAGGGAUAACAGCGCAAUCCUAUUCCAGAGUCCAUAUCGACAAUAGGGUUUACGACCUCAAUGUUGGAUCAGGACAUCCCAAUGGGCCC
rnacentral:rRNA from 1 species